AAAAUACAAAGAGAAACAAGUAUCUCGUAUCUCUUAGAACAACCUUUACUGCAUUUAAAAAUAUAUUACCAUCUCUCUACUAAUUUACUAGAUCUCCUAUUAUAUAAUAGAUAACUGACAACUACUUUAUUAACUAUUUAGGAUAAGGAUAGAUAACUUCUGAUAACCACAAGAAACUGCCAAGUAACAGUAAGAAACUGCCAACUCCUAAUAACAGUAAGAAACUGCUCAUUGCUCCAUGGGUGAAAG
rnacentral:misc_RNA from 1 species